UACAGAGGUCUCAAGCGUUGUUCGGAUUCAUUGGGCGUAAAGGGUGCGUAGGCGGCGCGGUAAGUCGGGCGUGAAAUCUCGGAGCUUAACUCCGAAACUGCAUUCGAUACUGCCGUGCUUGAGGACUGGAGAGGAGACUGGAAUUUACGGUGUAGCGGUGAAAUGCGUAGAUAUCGUAAGGAAGACCAGUGGCGAAGGCGGGUCUCUGGACAGUUCCUGACGCUGAGACGCGAAAGCGUGGGGAGCGAACAGG
rnacentral:rRNA from 1 species